rnacentral:rRNA from 1 species
CAGCCGCCGCGGUAAUACGAAGGGGGCUAGCGUUGUUCGGAUUUACUGGGCGUAAAGGGCGCGUAGGCGGACUGAUAAGUCAGGGGUGAAAUCCCAAGGCUCAACCUUGGAACUGCCUUUGAUACUGUUUGUCUUGAGUUCGAGAGAGGUAAAUGGAACUGCGAGUGUAGAGGUGAAAUUCGUAGAUAUUCGCAAGAACACCAGUGGCGAAGGCGGCUUACUGGCUCGAAACUGACGCUGAGGCGCGAAAGCGUGGGGAGCAAACAGGAUUAGAGACCCCUGUAGUCCCUGUCUCUUAUAC